rnacentral:rRNA from 1 species
GAUGAACGCUGGCGGCGUGCCUAAUACAUGCAAGUCGAGCGAACAGAUGAGGAGCUUGCUCCUCUGACGUUAGCGGCGGACGGGUGAGUAACACGUGGAUAACCUACCUAUAAGACUGGGAUAGCUUCGGGAAACCGGAGCUAAUACCGGAUAAUAUAUUGAACCGCAUGGUUCAAUAGUGAAAGACGGUUUUGCUGUCACUUAUGGAUGGAUCCGCGCCGCAUUAGCUAGUUGGUAAGGUAACGGCUUACCAAGGCAACGAUGCGUAGCCGACCUGAGAGGGUGAUCGGCCACACUGGAACUGAGACACGGUCCAGACUCCUACGGGAGGCAGCAGUAGGGAAUCUUCCGCAAUGGGCGAAAGCCUGACGGAGCAACGCCGCGUGAGUGAUGAAGGUCUUCGGAUCGUAAAACUCUGUUAUUAGGGAAGAACAAAUGUGUAAGUAACUAUGCACGUCUUGACGGUACCUAAUCAGAAAGCCACGGCUAACUACGUG